UCGGUGCCGGCAACCCAACGCAGUAAAGUGAUCCCCCCUGGGGGAGGACGUUUUGCAAGAAAUGAAACUCCAAAGGAAAUUGACGGGGACCCCCCCCAAGCGGUGGAGCAUGUGGUUUAUUUUUGAAGCAACGCGAAGAACCUUACCAGGGCCUUGACAUCCCCCUGAAUGGGUGGUAAUGCAUCCAGCCCUUCGGGGCAGGGGAGACAGGUGGUGCAUGGUUGUUGUCAGCUCGUGUCGUGAGAAGUUGGGUUAAGUCCCGCAACGAGCGCAACCCCUAUCCUUAGUAGCCAGCGAGCAAGACGGGCACUCUAGGGAGACUGCCAGGGAUAACCCGGAGGAAGGUGGGGAUGACGUCAAAUCAUCAUGCCCCUUAUGGCCUGGGCUACACACGUGCUACAAUGGGGUAAACAAAGGGAAGCGAAGGCGUGAGCGUAAGCAAAACCCAAAAAUAACUUCCCAGUUCGGGAAGUAGUUUGCAACCCGACUACAUGAAGCUGGAAUCGCUAGUAAUCGCGGAUCAGAAUGCCGCGGUGCAUUCUUUCCCGGGUUUUGUACACACCGCCCGUCA
rnacentral:rRNA from 1 species